rnacentral:misc_RNA from 1 species
UGAAGGUUCAAAAUGUGCAAACAAAUUUUUGCGUUGUUAACUUUUGUGUUACUUGCUAUUGUUUUGUAGUUUAGUUAUUAUCAAUGUGUUAUAGAACAUCAUUAGUUAAUUAUGGUAGGGCCAUAGACGAGCAUUUUCAUUCCCUGAAGGGGAUAACUAAUUCCACCUUUUUCUUUCUUUUUUAAUCUCAUUAAACAUCCAGAUAAGAGGUAACUUUUAUUUCAUUCCAUUUUCUUUCUUAUCCCGUCUUAGUGGUAGCUUGCAAAAUUUAGAUGCCCAGCCCUUGGCAGUAUUUGGGAUUAAUUUUCAUUUGGAUCUUACAAAGGUUUUACAUAGGUGAUUCAGUGUACUACUAAGGGAGAGAUUGUCGGUUGACUUGUAUCAAACAUUGGCUAAUGUUUAUGUGCACUGUAUGUUUUUUCCUCAAGUUAUAUGAGUAUUAUCCUGAAAAUGUGUAUAACUAGAAGUUACAUCCCUGUUCAAAUGUCGCACUUGAUAUGAUUGCUAUAUAUUUCUCUAGUUUGUGGCUCUUCUUUUCAGAUAAACUUCUUCAUUAUUUUGGUUAUCUUAU